rnacentral:pre_miRNA from 1 species
AGGAGGAACAACCACAGUGGUGGCGGCCAGCUCUGGAGCCCUGGAGUCAGCUUCCGCAGUAACUCCGGAGCUCUCCGUCUGCAGGACCUGGAUGCUUUGGGGCGGG